AAUUAUGGGCAAUUUUGACCAUUUGAAAGUAUGGAGUGCCGGAUUUAACUCUUAGAAUUGGACGGGCUGCCUGAUUCCACUGGCUUCGAAUGAACAAAUCAGAACUCCAGUUGCCGGAAAACACCGCCGCUUUGGUCGUCGCAGGAGAAGAAAGGCCGCCUGAAACAGUGAGAAGAGGGACACAUACCGAAGAUGAAUACUCUGAGCAAACAAAACAAUAGAACCAAAGACGGAGAGGAUGAAACCAAUAGAGCUCAUUCAACAAUGUUCGAAAGCGAACAUAAGCAUUAUAACAAGGUCAAAAGCAAUGAAUGUGAAGAUGAUGACCAUGAAAAGAAAGUGAAAAAGAAGAAGAAACUAAUUGAGGGAGGCAGACUUGACCAAGGAAAGACGAAAAAGAACAAGAAUAAACCAAGUCACAAAAGAAAAAGUAACAAGGACAAUGAGUUUAAUAGCAAUCAAGGUGAAGUUAAUGAUCAAGGCAAACCGAUGAAGAAAAAAAAGGAAGCAAAGGCGAUUACAACGGAUGAAUCUCCUAAACCCAAACGGGUAACUUUUUCCAAUCAAGUGGAGGAGUUUUGUUGUGAUGGCUUAGUGCGUGGGAAACGUUUUACACCCGAAGAAGAUGAGAAAAUCAAAGCAGCUGUUUAUGAUUAUAUAGAUUCUCAUGGUUUGGGAGAGGAAGGUGUAGAUAUGAUUCUUCAUAUCAAAUCCAACCCUUCAGUUAGAGGUUGUUGGAAGGUUAUUGCACAAGCCCUACCUCAUAGGCCUCCCGAUAGUGUGUCUAAACGCGGUCAUGUUUUGUUUGAAAACAAUGUGGAAUUUGAGUGGACACCUGAUGAGCGUGAAUUUAUAUUGAAGGCUUACGAGCAACAUGGACCUGAUUGGAGGGCAAUAGCUGAUGCUUUGGGUAAAAGUCGAAAUCAGGUCAAAGAUUUGUGGCGCAGAUUAAAGUGUACUGGGAGAAAUAAAGGACAUUGGUCCCAAGAGGAGUAUCAAACUUUAUUUAAUUUAGUAAACCUCGAUCUCCGUGCGAGGGCUUUAGAGCCUUAUAGAAAAUCCCAACAUGGUAUGUUGAGAGAUAAUAUUUGUUGGGAAGCAAUUAGUCAGAAGUUGAAAACCCGAGACAGUGCAAUUUGCUGCAAGAAGUGGUAUGGACAGUUGAUAUCACCAAUGACUGCUAGUGGUGAAUGGUUAGAAUCCGAUGACUUCCGCUUGAUAGAUGCUUUAUAUGCUUUGGAUGCUUGCUGCAUGGAAGAGGUAGACUGGGACAAUCUAAUUGAGUAUAGGUCUGGUGAUGCAUGCAGACAACGAUGGGAUCAAAUGGUCCAACAUAUUGGCAAUCGUGCAGGGAAGUCAUUUAUUGAGCAGGUUGAAAUUCUUGCAAAGAGAUUCUGUCCAGACUUAUUGGAGGCAAGAGAGGCUUUUGACAACAAGCCUGUGAUUUGUUGAGGUUUCUAUUCUCUAACAUGGUUUACCUUGGGGUGAAAUAAUUUUAUUAAACCAGAAUGUAUUAUGCCAUGAUGCGUACGGCGUUUUUUGUGGGAUCAUCGAUGCUUUUCUGCUGUAUUUCAGAAAAUAGACUUAGUAUUGGAUUUUGAGGGUGAUAUAGGAAUGCUUUCUUGUGAUAAAAAUUUGACCCUUGUUCUUUUGUUCCUAUUUAAAACCAGAAGCAACAAAUAUCAGGGCAUGCAUUAGGAAAUCUGCAUGGAGAUGAGUUGCGGAUUGCAUCAAGCAGGAGGGCAUCCACUGAACUUGAUACAUUUACAGACAAAGCUUUAGUUGUGAAAUGAAGCUUCUCUGGUGUUUGUAACCCUUCUGGAUUUUUACUUUAGUGGUACAUUUUAAGUUACUUUUCAGUCACAUCCAUUGUUAGUUUGUGUUUAGAACAAUUAAGGUUGAUUGCAAUUGUUGGGUGAUUGUGAUAUGAAGUCAUGUGGUUAGGACUUAGAAACUUGCUCUGUCUAUUACUAGCAAUAGCAACCAAAUUGGUACGAGUUCUUGCUUAUUUUUUCAUUGAAACUGAAUGUUAUGAACAACCGACACCCCUUGAAUUUCCGGAAGCAAGUUUUAGCUAUUAUCUGAACUGGAUUUCAAGAUAAACUUAGCUUUUGAGUUAUUAUGUCUGCUUAUAGCCAUAACAUUGAGCAUAUGUAUUCUACAAGGUGAUCAAGAAUUAUUAUCACAUAUAUGGUAUACUGAUGAAUCAUGUAAAUGCAUCUUGUAAUUCUGUUUGUGUUAGUAAAUUGAGUUGUGUUUUGUUUUGA